rnacentral:rRNA from 1 species
UACGUAGGGUGCAAGCGUUGUCCGGAAUUAUUGGGCGUAAAGAGCUCGUAGGCGGUCUGUCGCGUCUGCUGUGAAAACUCGGGGCUUAACCCCGGGCCUGCAGUGGGUACGGGCAGACUAGAGUGCGGUAGGGGAGACUGGAAUUCCUGGUGUAGCGGUGAAAUGCGCAGAUAUCAGGAGGAACACCGGUGGCGAAGGCGGUUCUCUAGUACGGUACUGACGCUGAGACGCGAAAGCGUGGGGAGCAAACAGG